rnacentral:rRNA from 1 species
UGUUGCAGUUAAAAAGCUCGUAGUCGAACCUUGGGUCUGGCUGGCCGGUCCGCCUCACCGCGAGUACUGGUCCGGCUGGACCUUUCCUUCUGGGGAAUCCCAUGGCCUUCACUGGCUGUGGGUGGAACCAGGACUUUUACUGUGAAAAAAUUAGAGUGUUCAAAGCAGGCCUUUGCUCGAAUACAUUAGCAUGGAAUAAUAGAAUAGGACGUGCGGUUCUAUUUUGUUGGUUUCUAGGACCGCCGUAAUGAUUAAUAGGGAUAGUCGGGGGCGUCAGUAUUCAGCUGUCAGAGGUGAAAUUCUUGGAUUUGCUGAAGACUAACUACUGCGAAAGCAUUCGCCAAGGAUGUUUUCAUUAAUCAGGGAACGAAAGUUAGGGGAUCGAAGACGAUCAGAUACCGUCGUAGUCUUAACCAUAAACUAUGCCGACUAGGGAUCGGGCGGCGUUUCUAUGAUGACCCGCUCGGCACCUUACGAGAAAUCAAAGUUUUUGGGUU